GAAAUAUAAAUAUUGGCAUAGUUGUGUAGAAUACUAUGCAAUGUUAUUUAAAAUAUGCAUAAAUAAAACGGAAAUAUUUGUGAAAUAUAUUCUUUGUUUCAUUUCUGAAUAACGCCCUUCCGCGUAUAUAAGUUUGAAAUUUGGGAGCUCCAGUUAACAUUCUAGUUGUACAUUUCUAAGAAGCAACAAAGAAAACAAAGCCACAAUGAAAUUGUCCUGCACCUUACUAUUCGCUUUGAUUGUGAUCUUUGCUGUCAUCGGUGGACAAGUUUCUGCUGCUCCUCAACCUAGGGGUUUAAAGAAAUUCUUGAAGAAAACCUUUGGCAAGAUUAAGGAAGUUGCAGCUCCAAUUGCUGGCCAAGCAGCUGGUGACGCAGUGACUGGUCUAAUUGCUGGUUAAAUAAAUACUUUUGAAAAACAAAUAAAAUAUUGGUUUGGGAUAUCUGACUGAA